GGGGGUGUAACGGUUUCGACGGGGGUGUGGAGGCAGGAACAGCGGGCGGAUGCGCCCAGCAUCCAUAAAAUGGGCGUCUUUAUAAAUUAAAGAACAACAACGAUAGACUUCUUCUCGCUGCUUAAGCGGUGAGCGUUCCGCCCGGGAGGACCACGGCCCGGGACGGAGCGUCGACGAGUGGUGCACGUGCGUGCGCAAAGCUUUGAGCGCACCAUGAAUCAUGAAGCUACCAAGCCCCCGAGGGUGACGGCUCCCGCUCGGGCGAGGGAACGCAAAGAACCGUCUGCGCCCGGAGAAGUUUCUGUCAAAGCGCUUUCGGACGGGGGUUCAACUCCCCCCACCUCCACCA
rnacentral:tmRNA from 1 species